UACGGAGGGGGCUAGCGUUGUUCGGAAUUACUGGGCGUAAAGCGCACGUAGGCGGCUUUGCAAGUCAGAGGUGAAAGCCCGGGGCUCAACCCCGGAAUAGCCUUUGAGACUGCGUCGCUAGAAUUGUGGAGAGGUAAGUGGAAUUCCGAGUGUAGAGGUGAAAUUCGUAGAUAUUCGGAAGAACACCAGUGGCGAAGGCGACUUACUGGACACAUAUUGACGCUGAGGUGCGAAAGCGUGGGGAGCAAACAGG
rnacentral:rRNA from 1 species